AGGAUAUAUUUGGUCCUAUAUAGUUGCAAGAUAGGUUUCAUUUCAAGCAUGGCUUGUUUCGGUUUUGCUGCUUGAUUUCUGAGUUCUUUCAGCUCAGCUCUGUGUUCCUUUGUGUAUUGAACUGUUUGUUUCAUGGGAGCAAAAUGGCCAGAGAGGUCCCAGGUCCCCCAUGUCUUUAUACCUCACAGUUCAGAGGAGAAAACUCUUCUGAAAACCUUGACAACUCUUCAAUCAUGUGUCAAACCCUUUUUUUAAAAAAAAAAAACAAAACAAACCCCACUAUGACCAAUGGUGUGCCAUGCCCGAUUAAGUCUGGGCCUGUAUUACUCAUCCUUGAACCAAUCACUUUGGUGAAGAGAUUGGUAUUAUGUUAAGUGGUUAGUUAUUCAGUUCAGUCGCUCAGUUGUGUCCAACUGUUUGCAACCCCAUGGACUGCAGCACGCCAGGCUUCCCUGUCCAUUACCAACUCCCGGAGCUUACUCAAACUCAUAUCCAUCUAGUUGGUGACACCAUCCAACCAUCUCAUCCUCUGUCGUCCCCUUCUCCUCCUGCCUUCAGUCUUUCCCAGCAUCAGGGUCUUUUCCAAUGAGUUAGCUCUUUGAAUCAAGUGGCCAAAGUAUUGGAGUUUCAGCUUCAGCAUCAGUCUUUCCAGUGAAUAUUCAGGACUGAUUUCUUUUAGGAUUGCUUAGUUGGAUCUACUUUCAGUCCAAGGGACUCUCAAGAGUCUUCUCCAAAACCACAGUUUAAGAGUCAAUUCUUUGGCACUCAGCUUUCUUUAUAGUCCAACUCUCACAUCCAUACAUGACUACUGGAAAAACCAUAGCUUUGACUAGAUGGACCUUUGUCGGCAACAUUACCUCUUACUAGCUUUUAUAUAGAAAUUACUUCUUACUCUUUUUCAGAUACAACACAUCUGACACUCAUUCAAAAAUAACCAGACAUACAAGGCAUCAAGAGAGUGUAAUGGAAAAUCAAAAGAAACAGCAGUUGGUGUAAGGAGCCCACCAGGUAUCUUAAAAUUGGAGUUUUCAUGCAAUGGAUUUUAAAUUAAAUAUAAUGAAUAUAUCUGAUACAAUAAAACAUGAGAUUGGUAAUUUCAACAGAUAACGGUAAAUUAUAAAAAAUACACAAUGGAAAUUCCAGAACAGGAAAAAUGGAAAUCAAGUCUUCAAUGAAUAGGUUUAACAUGAAGCUAGACAAACAGAAGAGAGAAUUAGUGAGCUGAAGAUAAACGUGAAAAAAUAUACAGAAUGAAGUAUGAAAAGGUUAACACACAGAGACAACAAUGUAAGAAGCAUAGGGGAACUAGGGAAAAGUUUUAACCUAUUUGUUAAGAUUCCCAAAAGGAGAAGAGAGAGACAAUAAGGGAAAAACAAUAUUUAAAGAGACAAUGAAUGAUAAUUUUCUUAAAAAAAUCUCUGAACCCAAGCCCGAUGAAUAUAAGUCAUACAAGCUAUGACUGUAAUAACAGUGAUGAAAAUAAUAGCAUGAGGAAUAAUAGUGCCAUCUAACAUUGAUUGGCAGCAUUUUGUGCAUCAGGAAUCACUGCAGAAUCUUUUAAUUCUAUUAGCAUAUUUAGUCCUCACUUUGAGACAGAUGCUAUUGUUAUGUAUAUCCGAAAACACUUUAUAAGCCAGUGAAAACACUAAACCAGCAGUAAUGGUAGGUUAUGUUAUUUUCUUUAUAUGCACGGUAGACCUCACCUGCCUCUUAUUUUCCUUAUACACAUCUUUUCUCUAGUUUUGUGCCAUAGGCUAAAGAGAGGAAG
ensembl:lncRNA